GAUGAACGCUAGCGGCAGGCCUAAUACAUGCAAGUCGAACGGUGUCUUCGGACAUAGUGGCGCACGGGUGCGUAACACGUAUGCAACCUACCUUACAUUGGGGGAUAGCCUUUUGAAAGGGAGAUUAAUACCGCAUAAGACAGUAGCUGGGCAUCCAGCAGCUGUUAAAGAUUUGUUGAUGUAAGCUGGGCAUGCGUCCAAUUAGCUAGUUGGUGAGGUAACGGCUCACCAAGGCAAUGAUUGGUAGGGGAACUGAGAGGUCAAUCCCCCACACUGGCACUGAGAGACGGGCCAGACUCCUACGGGAGGCAGCAGUAGGGAAUAUCGAGCAAUGGACGCAAGUCUGACCCAGCCAUGCCGCGUGCAGGAUGAAGGCGUUAUGCGUUGUAAACUGCUUUUAUACAGGAAGAAACGACUCUUGCGAGAGGCAUUGACGGUACUGUAUGAAUAAGCACCGGCUAACUCCGUGCCAGCCGCCGCUGUAAUAC
rnacentral:rRNA from 1 species